UAGAGUUUGAUCCUGGCUCAGAACGAACGCUGGCGGCGCGUCUUAAGCAUGCAAGUCGAGCGGCAGCAGCAAUGCGAGAGCGGCGGACGGGUGAGUAACACGUGGGUAAUCUGCCCUCCAGUCGGGGAUAGCCUGUGGAAACACAGGAUAAUACCGGAUGCGAUGGUCCCCGCACAAGCAGGGGUCAGGAAAGGAGCCAAGGCUCCGCCGGAGGAUGAGCCCGCGUCCCAUUAGCUUGAUGGUGAGGUAAAGGCCCACCAUGGCGAUGAUGGGUAGCCGGCCUGAGAGGGUGAACGGCCACAUUGGAACUGAGACACGGUCCAGACUCCUACGGGAGGCAGCAGCUAAGAAUCUUCCACAAUGGACGAAAGUCUGAUGGAGCGACGCCGCGUGGGCGAUGAAGGCCGUGAGGUUGUAAAGCCCUUUUCUUGAGGGGGAAUAACGCAGGCAGGGAAUGGCCUGCGGAUGACGUGAAUCAAGGAAUAAGCCCCGGCUAACUACGUGCCAGCAGCCGCGGUAACACGUAGGGGGCGAGCGUUGUUCGGAAUCAUUGGGCGUAAAGGGCGCGCAGGCGGCCGUGUAAGUCUGGUGUAAAAUGGUUGUGCUCAACACAAUCAUGCGCUGGAAACUGCGGGGCUUGAGUCAACGAGGGGAUGCCGGAAUUCCAGGUGUAGGGGUGAAAUCUGUAGAUAUCUGGAAGAACACCAGUGGCGAAAGCAGGCAUCUGGCGACUGACUGACGCUGAGGCGCGAAAGGUGCGGGGAGCAAACAGGUUUAGAUACCCUGGUAGUCCGCACAGUAAACGAUGUGCACCAGGUGGCGGGCAGCAGUGCUCGGUACCGAAGCAAACGCAUUAAGUGCACCGCCUGGGGAGUAU
rnacentral:rRNA from 1 species